AGCGAACGCUGGCGGCAGGCCUAACACAUGCAAGUCGAACGAACCCUUCGGGGUUAGUGGCGGACGGGUGAGUAACACGUGGGAACGUGCCUUUAGGUUCGGAAUAACUCAGGGAAACUUGUGCUAAUACCGAAUGUGCCCUUCGGGGGAAAGAUUUAUCGCCUUUAGAGCGGCCCGCGUCUGAUUAGCUAGUUGGUGAGGUAAUGGCGCACCAAGGCUACGAUCAGUAGCUGGUCUGAGAGGAUGACCAGCCACAUUGGGACUGAUACACGGCCCCAACUCCUACGGGAGGCAGCAGUGGGGAAUCUUGCGCAAUGGGCGAAAGCCUGACGCAGCCAUGCCGCGUGGAUGAUGAAGGUCUUAGGAUUGUAAAAUCCUUUCACCGGUGAAGAUAAUGACUGUAGCCGGAGAAGAAGCCCCGGCUAACUUCGUGCCAGCCGCCGCAGUAACAC
rnacentral:rRNA from 1 species